GAAUGGGCACAUUAAGCUGCAACAUGAUAAACUAGUGUUCCAUUUGCUUGGCAGAAAAGCAACUGUGAACUUAACUUAUGGGCAAAAGCAAAGGUUGCGUACGUACCUAUAUAAGGACCUCACUGAAGCUUUCUUGCACACCAACCUCUCUUUCUUCUCUCUUCUUAUAGAGGGGCACACACAAGCAAAGAGAGAGAGAAAGAGACACACACACAAAUUGAGAGAGAGAGAGAGAGAGAGAGAGAGAGAGAGAGAGAGCAACAAUGCCUUGGGGAAGCAUCCAAAGGGAUCGCAUUGAUCCUUCCGUCCAUGGUGCUGGUGGCCGUUAUCAAUCGACCGGCUCGACGGAUCAUGCGAUCCUUUUGGAAGCUUCCUCUAGCCAUUACUCCACUGAUGAUUCCAUGGCUGGCUGGCUAACUCUUCGUUGCUUCCAUCAUGUUCUCCAACGAGCUAGGAAAUAUUUGGCUGGUUUCCAAAUAUCACAUGUUGCCGUGGCAGCAAUAUACCCUACCGUGGCAACGUACUAAAUGCAGCCCGAAUAACUUACCAGUGGAGCGCGAGCAAAAUGGACCGCCACAAGUACGUUGAAUGUCCAGUGGCGGGCGCUACACUGAUAGGAUCUUUACCAGUGGCGGAUGUCGUGCCCGUGACUGAGGAUCUGCUAGGAGUGGCAGGCGCGCCUGAUAGCUCCGACCGCCACUGAUGGCCGUUUUCAGCCCGCCACUGCUAGCCUUUUCUGCAGUAGUGAACCUUGUAGGCUUUUCACAUUUUUCAUUCAUUUUAGAGGUUGAACGACUACUGCACUUCCUAAUAUCUGAGAUGCAACCAAUGAACUCAACCUCAAGAGAAGCAGAGCCAAAUGCAUUUGAAAUGUUAGUCUUAUUGUAUGUUUCAAUUGACUCACAUAUAUUGUUGCAUAAAAUAGGAUAGUCUAUCAUCCUGGACUGUUAA